GUACAUGUAUAAGCUUCCUGAGU
rnacentral:piRNA from 1 species